rnacentral:rRNA from 1 species
CAUGUCCUUUUGGUAAUAAAAUUUAAGGUCUAACCUGCCCAAUGAUUAAAUAUUAAAUGGCCGCGGUACUUUGACCGUGCAAAGGUAGCAUAAUCAUUAGUUUUUUAAUUGAAAGCUGGAAUGAAGGGUUGAAUGAGAAAACUACUGUCUUUAUUAUAUUUAAUUAAAAUUUUAUUUUUAAGUUAAAAAGCUUAAAUUUAAUUUAUAGACGAGAAGACCCUUUAGAGUUUUAUAAAUACUUAUUUAAAAUUUUUUAGAAUUAAUUUAAUUUUUAAAUUAGUUAUUUAUUUGAUUGGGGUGAUUGAAAAAUUUAAAUAACUUUUUUUUUUAUUUUACAUUUAUAUAUGAAUACUUGAUCCAUUAAUUAUGAUUAUAAGAUUAAAUUACCUAAGGGAUAACAGCGUUAUUUUUUUUGAGAGUUCUAAUCGAAAAAAAAGUUUGCGACCUCGAUGUUGGAUUAAAAUUAAAUUAUGGUGUAGAGGCUAUAACUUUA